rnacentral:rRNA from 1 species
UAGGGAAUCUUCGGCAAUGGACGAAAGUCUGACCGAGCAACGCCGCGUGAGUGAAGAAGGUUUUCGGAUCGUAAAACUCUGUUGUUAGAGAAGAACAAGGGUNAGAGUAACUGUUCACCCCUUGACGGUAUCUAACCAGAAAGCCACGGCUAACUACGUGCCGG